rnacentral:misc_RNA from 1 species
AUCUCUACAACUCUGGAAGUCUAACCGUACAGUAACUCUACCCAACUGACGUUACAAUGCUGUAUAUUAAAACCCACAAAGCGACUCCUUUUCAGAGCAUUAGGCAGGGGAAGAACUCAUCAUUCUUACUUUUCUUGGUCUCUGAUACAGAGAGAAAAUGGGUUCUCAGGUCUCUAAACAGGUAGCGAGGCGUAAAGCCAUCUCAACUGAGAAGAAAGCUCUCUGUGAUCUACAUGGGAGUUGUGGCGACACAUACCCUGGUUCCGAUUACCGUCCUGCAGACAGGAAGAAUUGGAUGGGUGGUCUCAACCCUGAGAAAGUUCAUAUAAAUAAGAUCGUAUGGCCUGGCACUCAUGAUUCUGCUACCAACAAGAUUGGCUUCCCGUUGAUCUCUCGUCCUUUUGCUCAGUGCCAAUCCUUGUCCAUCUACCAACAGCUUUGCAGGGGCGCCAGAGUUCUUGAUAUUCGGGUUCAGGAGGAUCGCCGUAUCUGCCAUGGAAUCUUGAAAACAUACAGUGUUGAUGUUGUCAUUAAUGAUGUCAAGAAAUUCUUAUCAGAGACUCAAUCAGAGAUCAUAAUUCUUGAAAUCCGGACAGAAUUUGGGCAUGAAGAUCCUGCAGAUUUUGACAAGUACUUGGAGGAACAGCUCGGAGAAUAUCUGAUCCAUCAAGAUGAUCAUGUUUUUGGCAAGACAAUUGCAGAAUUGUUGCCAAAGAGAAUAAUCUGUAUAUGGAAACCAAGAAAAUCACCACAGCCUAAACAUGGGGGCCCAUUGUGGAGUGCAGGGUAUUUGAAGGAUAAUUGGAUUGAUACAGAUUUGCCAUCAACAAAAUUUGAGAGCAACAUGAAGCAUUUGAGUGAGCAGCAACCAGCUUCAUCAAGGAAAUUCUUUUACAGGGUAGAAAACACUGUUACUCCACAGGCAGAUAACCCAAUUUUGUGUGUUAAACCCGUGACAGGAAGAAUUCAUGGAUAUGCUAGGAUGUUCAUAACACAGUGCUUCUCCAAGGGAUGUGCAGAUCGAUUGCAGAUCUUCUCCACAGAUUUCAUAGAUGAGGAUUUUGUGGAUGCAUGUGUGGGACUGACACAUGCAAGAAUUGAAGGGAAGGCUUAAUUAAUCUGUU